rnacentral:rRNA from 1 species
UAGUCCACGCCCUAAACGAUGCUUACUAGUUGUUGGCGAUAUACAGUCAGCGACAAAGAGAAAUCAUUAAGUAAGCCACCUGGGGAGUACGUUCGCAAGAAUGAAACUCAAAGGAAUUGACGGGGGCCCGCACAAGCGGUGGAGCAUGUGGUUUAAUUCGAUGAUACGCGAGGAACCUUACCAGGGCUUAAAUGUAGUAUGACAGAUUUGGAAACAGAUUUUUCUUCGGACAUAUUACAAGGUGCUGCAUGGUUGUCGUCAGCUCGUGCCGUGAGGUGUCAGGUUAAGUCCUAUAACGAGCGCAACCCCUAUUGCUAGUUGCCAGCGAGUCAUGUCGGGGACUCUAGCGAGACUGCCGGUGCAAACCGUGAGGAAGGUGGGGAUGACGUCAAAUCAUCACGGCCCUUACGUCCUGGGCCACACACGUGCUACAAUGGUAGGGACAGAGAGCAGCCACCACGCGAGUGGGAGCGAAUCUAUAAACCCUAUCACAGUUCGG